AUUGAACGCUGGCGGCAGGCUUAACACAUGCAAGUCGAGCGGAGCGAAGGUGCUUGCACCUUAGCUUAGCGGCGGGCGGGUGAGUAAUGCUUAGGAAUCUGCCUAUUAGUGGGGGACAACGUUUCGAAAGGAACGCUAAUACCGCAUACGUCCUACGAGAGAAAGCAGGGGAUCUUCGGACCUUGUGCUAAUAGAUGAGCCUAAGUCGGAUUAGCUAGUUGGUGGGGUAAAGGCCUACCAAGGCGACGAUCUGUAGCGGGUCUGAGAGGAUGAUCCGCCACACUGGGACUGAGACACGGCGCAGACUCCUACGGGAGGCAGCGGUGGGGAAUAUUGGACAAUGGGCGAAAGCCUGAUCCAGCCAUGCCGCGUGUGUGAAGAAGGCCUUUUGGUUGUAAAGCACUUUAAGCGAGGAGGAGGAGCUUCAGGUUAAUACCCUGGAUGCUUGGACGUUACUCGCAGAAUAAGCACCGGCUAACUCUGUGCCAGCCGCCGCGGUAA
rnacentral:rRNA from 1 species